rnacentral:rRNA from 1 species
GGUUAAGCGACUAAGCGUACACGGUGGAUGCCCUGGCAGUCAGAGGCGAUGAAGGACGUGCUAAUCUGCGAUAAGCGUCGGUAAGGUGAUAUGAACCGUUAUAACCGGCGAUUUCCGAAUGGGGAAACCCAGUGUGUUUCGACACACUAUCAUUAACUGAAUCCAUAGGUUAAUGAGGCGAACCGGGGGAACUGAAACAUCUAAGUACCCCGAGGAAAAGAAAUCAACCGAGAUUCCCCCAGUAGCGGCGAGCGAACGGGGAGCAGCCCAGAGCCUGAAUCAGUGUGUGUGUUAGUGGAAGCGUCUGGAAAGGCGCGCGAUACAGGGUGACAGCCCCGUACACAAAAAUGCACAUGCUGUGAGCUCGAUGAGUAGGGCGGGACACGUGGUAUCCUGUCUGAAUAUGGGGGGACCAUCCUCCAAGGCUAAAUACUCCUGACUGACCGAUAGUGAACCAGUACCGUGAGGGAAAGGCGAAAAGAACCCCGGCGAGGGGAGUGAAAAAGAACCUGAAACCGUGUACGUACAAGCAGUGGGAGCCUCUUUAUGGGGUGACUGCGUACCUUUUGUAUAAUGGGUCAGCGACUUAUAUUCUGUAGCAAGGUUAACCGAAUAGGGGAGCCGAAGGGAAACCGAGUCUUAACUGGGCGUUAAGUUGCAGGGUAUAGACCCGAAACCCGGUGAUCUAGCCAUGGGCAGGUUGAAGGUUGGGUAACACUAACUGGAGGACCGAACCGACUAAUGUUGAAAAAUUAGCGGAUGACUUGUGGCUGGGGGUGAAAGGCCAAUCAAACCGGGAGAUAGCUGGUUCUCCCCGAAAGCUAUUUAGGUAGCGCCUCGUGAAUUCAUCUCCGGGGGUAGAGCACUGUUUCGGCAAGGGGGUCAUCCCGACUUACCAACCCGAUGCAAACUGCGAAUACCGGAGAAUGUUAUCACGGGAGACACACGGCGGGUGCUAACGUCCGUCGUGAAGAGGGAAACAACCCAGACCGCCAGCUAAGGUCCCAAAGUCAUGGUUAAGUGGGAAACGAUGUGGGAAGGCCCAGACAGCCAGGAUGUUGGCUUAGAAGCAGCCAUCAUUUAAAGAAAGCGUAAUAGCUCACUGGUCGAGUCGGCCUGCGCGGAAGAUGUAACGGGGCUAAACCAUGCACCGAAGCUGCGGCAGCGACGCUUAUGCGUUGUUGGGUAGGGGAGCGUUCUGUAAGCCUGUGAAGGUGUGCUGUGAGGCAUGCUGGAGGUAUCAGAAGUGCGAAUGCUGACAUAAGUAACGAUAAAGCGGGUGAAAAGCCCGCUCGCCGGAAGACCAAGGGUUCCUGUCCAACGUUAAUCGGGGCAGGGUGAGUCGACCCCUAAGGCGAGGCCGAAAGGCGUAGUCGAUGGGAAACAGGUUAAUAUUCCUGUACUUGGUGUUACUGCGAAGGGGGGACGGAGAAGGCUAUGUUGGCCGGGCGACGGUUGUCCCGGUUUAAGCGUGUAGGCUGGUUUUCCAGGCAAAUCCGGAAAAUCAAGGCUGAGGCGUGAUGACGAGGCACUACGGUGCUGAAGCAACAAAUGCCCUGCUUCCAGGAAAAGCCUCUAAGCAUCAGGUAACAUCAAAUCGUACCCCAAACCGACACAGGUGGUCAGGUAGAGAAUACCAAGGCGCUUGAGAGAACUCGGGUGAAGGAACUAGGCAAAAUGGUGCCGUAACUUCGGGAGAAGGCACGCUGAUAUGUAGGUGAGGUCCCUCGCGGAUGGAGCUGAAAUCAGUCGAAGAUACCAGCUGGCUGCAACUGUUUAUUAAAAACACAGCACUGUGCAAACACGAAAGUGGACGUAUACGGUGUGACGCCUGCCCGGUGCCGGAAGGUUAAUUGAUGGGGUUAGCGGUAACGCGAAGCUCUUGAUCGAAGCCCCGGUAAACGGCGGCCGUAACUAUAACGGUCCUAAGGUAGCGAAAUUCCUUGUCGGGUAAGUUCCGACCUGCACGAAUGGCGUAAUGAUGGCCAGGCUGUCUCCACCCGAGACUCAGUGAAAUUGAACUCGCUGUGAAGAUGCAGUGUACCCGCGGCAAGACGGAAAGACCCCGUGAACCUUUACUAUAGCUUGACACUGAACAUUGAGCCUUGAUGUGUAGGAUAGGUGGGAGGCUUUGAAGUGUGGACGCCAGUCUGCAUGGAGCCGACCUUGAAAUACCACCCUUUAAUGUUUGAUGUUCUAACGUUGACCCGUAAUCCGGGUUGCGGACAGUGUCUGGUGGGUAGUUUGACUGGGGCGGUCUCCUCCUAAAGAGUAACGGAGGAGCACGAAGGUUGGCUAAUCCUGGUCGGACAUCAGGAGGUUAGUGCAAUGGCAUAAGCCAGCUUGACUGCGAGCGUGACGGCGCGAGCAGGUGCGAAAGCAGGUCAUAGUGAUCCGGUGGUUCUGAAUGGAAGGGCCAUCGCUCAACGGAUAAAAGGUACUCCGGGGAUAACAGGCUGAUACCGCCCAAGAGUUCAUAUCGACGGCGGUGUUUGGCACCUCGAUGUCGGCUCAUCACAUCCUGGGGCUGAAGUAGGUCCCAAGGGUAUGGCUGUUCGCCAUUUAAAGUGGUACGCGAGCUGGGUUUAGAACGUCGUGAGACAGUUCGGUCCCUAUCUGCCGUGGGCGCUGGAGAACUGAGGGGGGCUGCUCCUAGUACGAGAGGACCGGAGUGGACGCAUCACUGGUGUUCGGGUUGUCAUGCCAAUGGCACUGCCCGGUAGCUAAAUGCGGAAGAGAUAAGUGCUGAAAGCAUCUAAGCACGAAACUUGCCCCGAGAUGAGUUCUCCCUGACUCCUUGAGAGUCCUGAAGGAACGUUGAAGACGACGACGUUGAUAGGCCGGGUGUGUAAGCGCAGCGAUGCGUUGAGCUAACCGGUACUAAUGAACCGUGAGGCUUAACCUU